AGUGAAAUGCCUGAAAUUUUAAGGAUUAUUUUGAUAGAAUAAAUUAUGUAUAAGCAAUUUACUUUCACUG
rnacentral:tRNA from 1 species